ensembl:lncRNA
CUCAUUUUGUCUGUCAUAGUUGAAGUGUACCUAUGAUGAAAAUUACAGGCCUCUCUCAUCUUUUUAAGUGUGAGAACUUGCACAAUUGGUGGCUGACUAACUACUUUUUUGCCCCACUGUAUUAAUAAAUAAAAUAUAUAUAUGAUAUAGCCUAAUAGUUAAUCCUUUAGUUUCUUGCCCAUUUAGGUUAUGAGAGUGAACUGUCCUACUAGAUGACGGUUCAUUCAGUGUCUUUCAAAAUAGUCACUCCUCUGGAAGCACAUUGUGAGUAUCUCAGCCUGUUUGUGUAUCUGUGUCUGUCUGUCUGUUCAUGUCUGUGUAUCUGUAACCCUGUAUCCAUAUCUCCUCUCUGAAAGGCUCUUUGUGUUCGUACUGAAGUGCUUCCUGCAGGCGAGUCCCUUCAGCAACAGCAGAGUACUCUCCAGUACUGCAAGCCUGGUUGGGGGCCCAGCAGGGAGAUGAUGGGGCCUUCAUGGAGCCUGGUUGGAUCAUCCACACUGAACUUCAGGGAGGCCUGGAUGGUCCCAUAUCUCUCACAACCUACGUCCUCAUGGCGCUGUUGGAGGAUGACAGUUACAAGGUGGGAGUAAUGCUACAAUACAGUAUGUGCUUUGGCCUUUGGUUUUCCAAGUCUGUUAAAUCUCUGUGGUUAACCUUUAUUUUGUUUCUAUUAUUCAGAACAUGUAUGCGAGCCAAGUUUCCAUAGAUACAGUAUGUGCCUGGCCGCUUACACUCUGGCCCUGGCCAACAGUGAGACCGCAGACCGAGCACUGACACAGCUGAUGGGAUGAGCAGAGAUGAGGGGUAACACUUGGGGAGUUGGAUGGAGAUGGGGAUGGAUGAGACACCUCUGUUCUAAGGUGCUGCAUAUCUAAAAGCAUUUAGGGGCAGCAUUUGGAAUUUUGGAUGAAAAGCAUGCCCAAAUUCAACUGCCUCCUACUCAUCCCCAGAAGAUAAGAUAUGCAUAUUAUUAGCUGAUUUGGAUAGAAAACACUCUGAAGUUUCUAAAACUGUUUGAAUCAUGUCUGUGAGUAUAACAGAACUUAUGUAGCAGGUGAAACCCAGAGGGAAAAACAUUCAGAAUUUGUUUUUUGAAGUCCCUCUCUUUUCAAUGUGUUUUCAUUGGGAAUCCAAUGCAGUGCCUACUGCUUCCACUGGAUGUCACCAGUCUUUAGAAAUUGGUUGAGGUUAUUCCUUUGUGUAAUGAAGAAGUACGGCCGUCUUGAACGAGGGUCACUUCUUGUGUACUGUUUGAUAGAGGCGCAUGACCAGAAAGCAUGCUUCAGUUUGUUUUCUUCCUGUAUUGAACACAGAUUAUCCCGUUUUCAAUUUUAUCAAUUAUUUACUUUAGAAAAUACGUUGUAUUACAAAAGUAGUUUGAAAUGUUCAGAUAAUAGCAUUGUUUGCUUUCGCGGAAAAGCCUUUUUGAAAUCUGACAUGUUGGCUGGAUUCACAACAUGUGUAGCUUUAACUUGGUAUCUUACAUGUGUGAUUUCAUGAAAGUUUGAUUUUUAUAGUAAUUUAUUUGAAUUUGGCACUCUGCAUUUUCUCUGGCUUUUGGCCAAGUGGGAUGCUAUCGUCCCACAUAUCCCAGAGAGGUUUUAAAGAGGACUCACUAGAAAACACUAAAUUGUUAUUUGUUGAUGAAACUUUCUUGAUUUCUGCAUGUCAGUCUGAUACAAAAAUAGUUAUUCUACGUACAGUGCAAGCCUUGUUUCCCAGAUGAUGUUGUUGAGUCGUGCCAGCCGUGCUCCGCAGACAUAGAGAUGGCUACCUACCUGCUGCUCUUCCUGCGCAAGCUUUCUUGGGUGGUGGAUGGGUUCGGCCUCAUGAAGUGGCUCAGCCAGCAGAGGAACCACCUGGGAGGAUACGGCUCCACACAGGGUCAUCUCUGAUCCCAGAUCAUCAGGCUGGUCUGUUGGAGGGCCAGGUCAUCAACUAGACUGGCAUGGCCAUUCUGGAGGUGGGCA